AACUUUGCAUCUGGAGGUUGUGUAAUUGGUAUACCUCUCCUAUAUAUCAUGGCAAUUCUGACCUUGAUUCACUGUGGGAAAAUGGUUUGGAGAAGAUUGAUGGAAAACCGAAGUCGACAGGGUAAUCGAUAACAUGUCAUUGAACUGAACUACUCUUCUGCCGUAAUAUUGCUAAUUCAGCAUCUUGAAGGUAUCUUCAAG
rnacentral:misc_RNA from 1 species